rnacentral:lncRNA from 1 species
CGGCCUCCGGCAGGUGCAAAGAAGAGCCAAGCUUCAGAGACACUGAUGUCUCCGCCACGCCCCUGGGCGGUUCGCUGAGGCGGUUGGCGACCUGGCUGCGCGCUUUCAGUGCUCAAGCCGCUGACCUUCAUCCACCAAGGAGCGUGGCAAGUGGUCACAGGCCGCCCCAGGUUUCCAGCCUCAUUGCCCAUUUCGGCCGCAGGAGCGGCGCUUUUCGUAACCCCGGGAGCCUCCCCGGAGGAGGCGGGAGCGCGAGCACCUCCCCCUCCGCGCCGCCCCCUUAGCUGCCCGUAGCCCUGCCUGCGCCCGCCUCCAAGAGGCGCGGGACGCCGGGCGCCGGCCGCCACGGUACUCACCUAGGCCCAGGGCCGCCCGCGGGCAAAGACUGUUGCUGCGGGUUGUUUCGUUCGUGGCUUUUGUAUAGGCUGAAAUUUGGGUUGAGUUAAACUCAGGACUUCCGCAAACAGGACCUAUUUGGGGUUUGUUUGGUGUUUUUGGUUUGGGGUUCCCUCCCCCCCACACUUUUUUUUUCUUGGUUCUUUUUCCAAAAUGGCAGCCUCCAGCCGCGCACAAGUGUUAGAUCUGUACCGAGCGAUGCUGAGAGAGAGCAAGCAUUUCAACGCCUAUAAUUACAGGUGACCCGGCGGGCGGCGGGGCCGGGAGGGUUCGGGGCGUGGGCGCCCCAGAAUGUUCC